UACGUAGGGGGCAAGCGUUGUCCGGAAUCAUUGGGCGUAAAGCGCGUGUAGGCGGCCCGAUAAGUCCGCUGUGAAAGUCCAGGGCUCAACCCUGGGAUGCCGGUGGAUACUGUCGGGCUCGAGUCCGGAAGAGGCGAGUGGAAUUCCUGGUGUAGCGGUGAAAUGCGCAGAUAUCAGGAGGAACACCAAUGGCGAAGGCAGCUCUCUGGGACGGUACUGACGCUGAGACGCGAAAGCGUGGGGAGCAAACAGG
rnacentral:rRNA from 1 species